UUAAAGUCAAUUUUGUUAUGGGGUUGAGAAAGAUAACUUUUAAAAAUAAUGGGAAUAUAUUCUAUGUGUACACAGAGAUAAAGCGUAUGUAGGAUGAUCUUGAAAAUGACGUGCUUAUCAGCCUGGAACAGUACGGAUUGAUCAGGUGACUAGGGAAAGCAUCCAAUCUCCAAAAAUGUACUAGAGGAGAGAUAGGAAGAAAAGUUAAUUGACUAGUAAAUGUUCUGUAUUUCAAGUCUAUUACAUAAAAAUUAAGUACUUAAAAAUUCAGUGAUGUUUCAAAUUAAAUUAGACUAGCUCCCAAUACAGAAACAUUUAAAAUAUAUACACAAGUCUUUGAGACUAUUUGGAUACACCUGGAUAUAUUUUCCUUGUGGCAGAAUGUGGGUCAUGAAAAAUAAUAAUCUUUCAUUUUCAAAGUAGAAACAUACUAAUGCAUAAAUGUAUUGCUUAUAAUGUAUCAGUCUGCAGGGUAUUAUUUUUCUCAUAAUAGGAAAUGGCAGACGUAGGUAACUAUAUUCUCCUGGUGUAAAAUGGAACAGAACAAUCUUUUGCAAUUACAAUGCAUAGACUAUACUGGCCCUAGUGCAGGAAGCAUAACAAUUUGCAUAUUUUAAUUUGGAGGUUAGGGACCCCUGUCAAAGUAACAGCUUGGACCAGGUCAGCAAGGAGAAAUUGAGAAGAGAGAAAUAAUUGAAAAGGCAGUUCCCAACAAAAUGAAAUUUGUCUCGUUGUCACUUAAGGUUGUCUUCUUGUCUUUUUGAGAGAGCAAGGUCAGCUUAAGAAUGAAGGGAGAGUAGAGCUUGGUAGAUCACUAAGGACCAAAGGAUAAUUUUUUUAAUAACAGUGGCAAUUGCAAUAUAUAUUUAUGAAGGGAAGAGGAAAAAAAUGCACAUCGCUUUCCAGUUAAGAGUCAGCAGGUGUCCUUUGUGUCAAAAUAUUGCAGAUGUGUACAUGGCUGCUCUAAAGUUUGUCCUCAAAGACAAGCAGGUUACAAAGGAGAUGAAGUACUUAAUGAAAUAAUUUAGUGUGACAUAUUGAUAUUGAAGGCUGGAAGGCAGAAAAGGAUUUGCAACAAAAUUAAGCCUCCUUCAUCUCUUCUCUUUGUAGGGAAUAAUUCUAGUACAACUUACUGUUGAAUUUAAAAAAUGCAUCAUUAGAGUCUCCACCUUUUAACUCAUAUGUUUAAUCAACUUUUGUAGUUAACAACGGUUAUAUUGGUAAGUAUUUUUCAUGUAAAUUUCACAUUUUGUUUUUCCUUUUUCUCUACCUGUGCUUUCUAUUUGAGAGUGAUUCGUUCGCUACUAAAAAUUUAUUGAUGGCAUUUUUUCUCAUUAUGGCAGGUGUCUUUCUCCAAAGACCCAUAAUCAUGAUUAUUUUCUUGUAAUCAAUUCUUAAACUUAUAUAUGUAAACAUACACAUACACACAUAUAUGUGUAUGCAUUUAAGAAUUUUAUGUAUGUUCCUGCUAACAACAUAAGUAAUAUAAUUUUCCCAAGAGGACAUUUUUCUUGAUGAGACAAAUAACUUAAUUCACUCUCAUUCCUCAUGUUCCCUACCUUAUCAGAUUGAAUCAUGUUGAAUUUUAGUUCUGGCUAUUGUAAAUAUACUUCUCCAUUUGCUCUAAAUUUUUUCCCCUUUCCUUCUCUUUCCCUCCACCCACCUCAUUCUCAGUCUUUGCCAAACUAUGAUCAAAUAUGUUGCCACAUAGUUGAUCAUUUCACUUAUAUCUCUUCCAUCAUUUUCUGGCAUUGUACUUUUCUAAUUUGAUUUCUUCUAAAAUUAUAUUCA